rnacentral:rRNA from 1 species
AUAGGUUAAUGAGGCGAACCGGGGGAACUGAAACAUCUAAGUACCCCGAGGAAAAGAAAUCAACCGAGAUUCCCCCAGUAGCGGCGAGCGAACGGGGAGGAGCCCAGAGCCUGAAUCAGCAUGUGUGUUAGUGGAAGCGUCUGGAAAGGCGCGCGAUACAGGGUGACAGCCCCGUACACAAAAGCGCAUGUGCUGUGAGCUCGAUGAGUAGGGCGGGACACGUGGUAUCCUGUCUGAAUAUGGGGGGACCAUCCUCCAAGGCUAAAUACUCCUGACUGACCGAUAGUGAACCAGUACCGUGAGGGAAAGGCGAAAAGAACCCCGGCGAGGGGAGUGAAAAAGAACCUGAAACCGUG